GUUUUCCCUUAGAUACUUGGGAUUGGAGAUACUGGGAAUUGCUGACUGUCGGCUCAACUGUGAGACUGAUGCCUCGUUUCGGAAACUUAAACUGAGAUCUACAUGAAAACUGUCCCUUUACCACAGUGUGAAACUAAAAUAUUGAGAAAUAUGAAGGAUCCUGACAACCCUAAGAACUGCUUCAAACUCAACAAUGAAAUGAGGGGCCAGGGAUACAAGUGGAAAUGAAGAAGAGAUUUACUGUAGGACUGAAAAUGGAAGCAAAGUAACUGACCAGCCAUGCUGCUGAAGUUGGUGUUGAAGUGAUGAGCUAUGACUGCUAACAUACUUGUAACCAGAUGCACCUGAUGAGAAUAAUGAGGUUUUGCUUUUUGCUUAUUUCCUUAAAUUCUGAGACGUGAUUUGAUUUGAGUCCCAUAUAAUUUUUGAAGGUGCUCCUCCUUUUCGUUUGUUCAACAGGGAAGCCACAGGCACACCUAUUAGCACUCUCCAUUUCCAACAAUUUUGUUUACUAGUUUUUGAAGUGUAAUAAAUUGUUAUUUUAAAGUGUGACUGACCGACUGUCAACUCAUCGAGGGCUCUAAGAAUUUUAACAGGUGAUAAAGCUUCCAGAGGUAAACUAACUUUAAACUAAUUUAAUACAUUCCACUGUAUUAGUUGAUUUGAUCCCAAAAUGUAUCAAAAACUGCAAAGCCUUCUGUAGAGUAUCAAAUAUACAUACUGUAUUUAAAUUACGAAACAUAAGUAAAAAUAAUUUUAACUGAGUUAUGUAACAAAACAAAUGUACUAAUCAUUGUCCUCUGUUUACUUUGUAGC